CUGUUAAAAAAUUCAUUUCAUCAUUGCACAAUUUUUCAUGACCAAUGAAAUAUUUCUUAAAAGUAAGCAGAUAAUCAACAGCAACAUUGAUCCACAAAGAGGUUCUUCACAUGAUCGACAACUAGAGGGCACUGUUGCUCUUGAUUAUCAACUAUCAAUCAACAGGUGCAGUCGAAACGCUAUUGAUUCUCCUGAGCGUAACGGCUCAAGCAUAUCUGCAGAUUAGCAUCCAUGUUCAUUUGAGGUCAGACGAUAGAUUACAAGGGGAGCUGUGCAGCUACACUGUUGCACGUGGUCGCGCGCGUGCUGCUACUUCACGAUGAACGUAACCUGGACCAGAGCAAAUUAUAAAAGGAAACAUCAUUAACGGCUUCAAGGAUUCUCCUCAUCAAGACUCAACCAGAGGAACAUGCGUUUGUGAAAGUUCAAGUGGGUACUUUCAAUUUCGGCUCCCCAAGAGCUGAAAAAUGCAGCAAACAGAGGAGAGUUACACUAAUGUAGUCUGUUUGAAGAUGCUCCUAAGACGGGAUCCCCAGUGAAAGGAAGAUGUUUUCUUCUGUUCUCACAAUGCAUCUGAUCUGUCAGCGAAGAAAAGGCAACAUGACAGCACUGUUUGCACAAGCUCAUCCCGUGCCAUUUCAUCCUGCGCUGCAAGACAUGCAUGCGCAGAGCUGCCAGGUGAUUCGUGAUUUGUUUCAGUUUAUCUCUUAAAAUGAGAAUAGUUUGAUUAAAAUUAAUUUGGAUUGUUUUGUUGAUUUUGAUUUAUUUCUGUUCUUCCUUUGGAAAUGUAGCUAAAUAAAACACUACUGUAGUGUCA